GGGAAGGGAUGCCUAGUAACGGCGAGUGAACAGGCAAGAGCUCAGAUUUGAAAGGCACUUUUGUGCCGUUGUAUUCUGAAGUUAGGGUCCUGAGAAACGAUGCUUAAGUCUUCUGGAAAGGAGCGCCAUGGAGGGUGAUAGCCCCGUCUAGCAUUGACCUCAUAUAGGAUCUUAACAUGGAGUCGAGUUGUUUGGGAAUGCAGCUCAAAUGGGUGGUAUGCUCCAUCUAAAGCUAAAUAUCUGCGAGAGACCGAUAGUAAACAAGUACUGUGAGGGAAAGAUGAAAAGAACUUUGAAAAGAGAGUGAAAAAGUACGUGAAAUUGUUGAAAUGGAAGGGUAGGCCGCUAACCAUGUAGAGCCGUGUUUGGGGGGAAGAUAAAUGCUGUAGAAUGUAGCUCCUCGGAGUAUUAUAGAUGCAGUUCAUAUUCCCACCCGAGCGCGAGGAUCUCAGGUUCUACUAAAUGGUGGUCUACCACCCGUCUUGAACCACGGACCAAUA
rnacentral:rRNA from 1 species